rnacentral:rRNA from 1 species
CUUUCUCCGCCGGCGACCGGCGCACGGGUGAGUAACACGUAUGCAACCUGCCCCUGUCAGGGGGACAACCCGCCGAAAGGCGGGCUAAACCCGCGUACAUGCCACCGGGGCAUCCCGGAGGCAGGAAAGGCUUCGGCCGGACAGGGAUGGGCAUGCGGCGCAUUAGCAGUGGCGGGGUAACGGCCCACCUAACCGACGAUGCGUAGGGGUUCUGAGAGGAAGGUCCCCCACACUGGUACUGAGACACGGACCAGACUCCUACGGAAGGCAGCAG